rnacentral:rRNA from 1 species
AACGUAGGAGGCAAGCGUUAUCCGGAGUUACUGGGCGUAAAGCGUGCGUAGGCGGGGUGGUAAGUGGGUGGUGAAAGCGCUCGGCUAAACCGGGCGAGUGCCAUCCAGACUGCCAGUCUAGAGGCGGAUAGAGGGGUGCGGAAUUCCGGGUGUAGCGGUGAAAUGUGUAGAGAUCCGGAGGAACACCAGUGGUGCAAACGGCGCCCUGGGUCCGAACUGACGCUGAUGCACGAAAGCGUGGGGAGCGAACGGG